AUGUUAUUUUCUGUGUAUGUUUUAAAUGAUAUAGCCCCAAGUGCAGUUGAAUUUAUGAACCAUAGUAGAAACUCAAAUGCAGUGACUGUUAGCUGGCCUUCAGCUAGAAGUCUUCUGGAUGGGUACAUUAUCUCGAUAUCCAGUGACAGCUUAAUGAAGGAAGAAAUCUUGCCUUCCACGAAAAGGACAUUCACAUUUAAUAACCUUUCUCCGGGGACUGACUUUUUAAUUAGCAUUGUAACUACCAAGGGACUAAAAAUAAGCCAUCCUACUGUCCUCCUGGUUAGCACUUAUCCAGACCCACCAUCAAAUUUGCUGAUUUUUGGGCAGGAAGAAAACACAAUAUAUUUAUCUUGGAAACUCCCACAAGGAGGCUUUGAAAAGUUUCAGGUAAAGAAUAGCACUGCUAUCAUACAACCUUGAUGUUUAUUGAGGUCUUUGUUUCACUCAUUCUUUUUGUCUUUCAUUUUACUUUAAUGGUUUUAGAAAUUAUGGUACCAAUCCUUUAAUGUAAGAUUUUCCUCCAAAGCAGUUUUUCUAUUUACUGCUUUAAAAGUACAAAAUUGUCAUGGAAAGUGUUCGAACUUGAGUAAGAGCUGAUACUUGACUUUAAAUGAAUUUGCAUUUUCAAUAGAAAUAGAUAUUUGCAUACAUAGUACAAAAAAGUGAAUAAAGGAAUGAUGGUGUUGGAGGAUAAUGCUUCU
rnacentral:lncRNA from 1 species